CGUUUAGUAUUUGGUCGUAGACCCGAAACCAGGUGAUCUACCCUUGGUCAGGUUGAAGUUCAGGUAACACUGAAUGGAGGACCGAACCGACUUACGUUGAAAAGUGAGCGGAUGAACUGAGGGUAGCGGAGAAAUUCCAAUCGAACCUGGAGAUAGCUGGUUCUCUCCGAAAUAGCUUUAGGGCUAGCCUCAAGUGAUGAUUAUUGGAGGUAGAGCACUGUUUGGACGAGGGGCCCCUCUCGGGUUACCGAAUUCAGACAAACUCCGAAUGCCAAUUAAUUUAACUUGGGAGUCAGAACAUGGGUGAUAAGGUCCGUGUUCGAAAGGGAAACAGCCCAGACCACCAGCUAAGGUCCCAAAAUAUAUGUUAAGUGGAAAAGGAUGUGGCGUUGCCCAGACAACUAGGAUGUUGGCUUAGAAGCAGCCAUCAUUUAAAGAGUGCGUAAUAGCUCACUAGUCGAGUGACACUGCGCCGAAAAUGUACCGGGGCUAAACAUAUUACCGAAGCUGUGGAUUGUCCUUUGGACAAUGGUAGGAGAGCGUUCUAAGGGCGUUGAAGCAUGAUCGUAAGGACAUGUGGAGCGCUUAGAAGUGAGAAUGCCGGUGUGAGUAGCGAAAGACGGGUGAGAAUCCCGUCCACCGAUUGACUAAGGUUUCCAGAGGAAGGCUCGUCCGCUCUGGGUUAGUCGGGUCCUAAGCUGAGGCCGACAGGCGUAGGCGAUGGAUAACAGGUUGAUAUUCCUGUACCACCUAUAAUCGUUUUAAUCGAUGGGGGGACGCAGUAGGAUAGGCGAAGCGUGCGAUUGGAUUGCACGUCUAAGCAGUAAGGCUGAGUAUUAGGCAAAUCCGGUACUCGUUAAGGCUGAGCUGUGAUGGGGAGAAGACAUUGUGUCUUCGAGUCGUUGAUUUCACACUGCCGAGAAAAGCCUCUAGAUAGAAAAUAGGUGCCCGUACCGCAAACCGACACAGGUAGUCAAGAUGAGAAUUCUAAGGUGAGCGAGCGAACUCUCGUUAAGGAACUCGGCAAAAUGACCCCGUAACUUCGGGAGAAGGGGUGCUCUUUAGGGUUAACGCCCAGAAGAGCCGCAGUGAAUAGGCCCAAGCGACUGUUUAUCAAAAACACAGGUCUCUGCUAAACCGUAAGGUGAUGUAUAGGGGCUGACGCCUGCCCGGUGCUGGAAGGUUAAGAGGAGUGGUUAGCUUCUGCGAAGCUACGAAUCGAAGCCCCAGUAAACGGCGGCCGUAACUAUAACGGUCCUAAGGUAGCGAAAUUCCUUGUCGGGUAAGUUCCGACCCGCACGAAAGGCGUAACGAUUUGGGCACUGUCUCAACGAGAGACUCGGUGAAAUCAUAGUACCUGUGAAGAUGCAGGUUACCCGCGACAGGACGGAAAGACCCCGUGGAGCUUUACUGUAGCCUGAUAUUGAAAUUCGGCACAGCUUGUACAGGAUAGGUAGGAGCCUUUGAAACGUGAGCGCUAGCUUACGUGGAGGCGCUGGUGGGAUACUACCCUAGCUGUGUUGGCUUUCUAACCCGCACCACUUAUCGUGGUGGGAGACAGUGUCAGGCGGGCAGUUUGACUGGGGCGGUCGCCUCCUAAAAGGUAACGGAGGCGCUCAAAGGUUCCCUCAGAAUGGUUGGAAAUCAUUCAUAGAGUGUAAAGGCAUAAGGGAGCUUGACUGCGAGACCUACAAGUCGAGCAGGGUCGAAAGACGGACUUAGUGAUCCGGUGGUUCCGCAUGGAAGGGCCAUCGCUCAACGGAUAAAAGCUACCCCGGGGAUAACAGGCUUAUCUCCCCCAAGAGUUCACAUCGACGGGGAGGUUUGGCACCUCGAUGUCGGCUCAUCGCAUCCUGGGGCUGUAGUCGGUCCCAAGGGUUGGGCUGUUCGCCCAUUAAAGCGGUACGCGAGCUGGGUUCAGAACGUCGUGAGACAGUUCGGUCCCUAUCCGUCGUGGGCGUAGGAAAUUUGAGAGGAGCUGUCCUUAGUACGAGAGGACCGGGAUGGACAUACCUCUGGUGUACCAGUUGUCGUGCCAACGGCAUAGCUGGGUAGCUAUGUGUGGACGGGAUAAGUGCUGAAAGCAUCUAAGCAUGAAGCCCCCCUCAAGAUGAGAUUUCCCAACUUCGGUUAUAAGAUCCCUCAAAGAUGAUGAGGUUAAUAGGUUCGAGGUGGAAGCAUGGUGACAUGUGGAGCUGACGAAUACUAAUCGAUCGAAGACUUAAUCAA
rnacentral:rRNA from 1 species